UUUGGUCUAAACCUACCAUUCAAUUCAAUUCAUUCUCAUUUAUCAAAUUGGCCCCCAUAUACCGCCAACCCCUUAUAAAUAUGACCAUACCCCUUCCUUUUCUUUCCACUGCCAUGCCAUAUGUAUUAUAUACCCACAUAUAUACAUAUACGUAUAUACGCAUAUACAUACAUACAUACAUACACACACAUGUAUGUAUGUGUGUAAGGAAACAGUUGCAUGCAUCUAUAAAAAAGGUUCGAAAGAACAUGUUAUUGUAGAUGGAUGUUGACGAGACAGACAAAACAGUAGAAAAGAAUCUGUAAAGCUCAGGAGGGAUAGCGCCUAUAUAUGGCAUGUAUGCAUACUUUUACGUAUGGUGUCUAUCAAAGGCGCUGUCUAUCCUGAGCCUCACGGCUUCUUUUUACUCCAUCCCUGCCAAUAAAGUUGCCACCAACAAAUCUAUUCAUAUCCCGGUCCUGAUGUGGGAAUGCUCAACGACUUGAUUAAUACAACGGCUAAGGAGGCAGUUUAACUUUUAAGAGACGAAGUUGAAUCGUCCUAGCCACGUACAAGACAAGGACCCCUUGAACGAGAUUGGUUGAGUGCUCAUCAACGUUUGGUAGCUGAUUUUUUUUUGCUCAAAGCCCUUUGUAUGAUGAUACACACUUUCGGCAUCACUUUCGUAUGAGUCGUCUUUUAUAGAAUGUUAGGCAAUUUAGAACACGAGUUUACAUGUUUCAAACAAAUAGAAGAUGCUAGACGGAAACUUGGAUUCUCUAGUUUGCAAAAAUGUACAGUUGCAAUUCGUCAGCUGGCGUACGACAUGGGACGAGUAUUCUUUUAGUUUAUUAUUAUUAUUUUUAUUAUUAUUGAUGUAAUUUGUAAUACUUUAAUAUAAUUCGGUUAUCAACUUCUACGGAAGGUGAUAUUUGAAGAAUCGGGCGUCUACUAACAUCCCAUAUUUAUAUGAAGUCUACCAACGAAUACACGGGUUUCCCGGGAUGAUAAGUAGCCUAGACUGUUAGCAUUGGCCGUGGGGUGCUUGUCAAACUGUUUGAAAAGGCCAACACCAUUAAGGGUGUCUUAAAUGAAUUGUGGAUGUUGACUCCUUUCAUAACUUCGUUUGGAUCACGUCUUCUAUAUUACUAUAUUUUACUCUCUCCCUCCACAUAUUAUUCUUUUAAAAUAUUUUAAUUUUGUCGCAAGUGUUUCUACGGUACGACUAAAUGACGUGUGUCUACGAAUUUGGACAGUAGGAAUAUAUUCCCGAUCGAAAUGGGACCGUCAUAUGUAACAUCAAUCCCUUUCUCAUGUUUCCCAACUUAGAUUAUUAUUAUGAAAUGAAAUCAAAUGUAACACUAUAA